AUUGAACGCUAGCGGGAUGCCUUACACAUGCAAGUCGCACGGAGUGGCGAACGGGUGAGUAAUGUAUCGGAACGUGCCCAGUAGCGGGGGAUAACUACGCGAAAGCGUAGCUAAUACCGCAUACUAUUCGCGCGGCCGAUAUCGGAUUCGCUAGUUGGUGGGGUAACGGCUCACCAAGGCGACGAUCCGUAGCUGGUUUGAGAGGACGACCAGCCACAUUGGGACUAGGACCCGGCCCAGACCCCUACGGUAGGCAUCAGUGGGGAAUUGUGGAAAAAGGUGGAAACCCCGAUCCAGCCAUCCCGCGUGUGCGAUGAAGGCCUUCGGGUUGUAGAGCACUUUUGGCAGGAAAGCGGUACCUGCAGAAUAAGCACCGGCUAACUACGUGCCAGCAGCCGCGGUAAUAC
rnacentral:rRNA from 1 species